rnacentral:rRNA from 1 species
CCCAUCCGUGUCUAUUGUACCCUGUUGCUUCGGCGGGCCCGCCGCUUGUCGGCCGCCGGGGGGGCGCCUCUGCCCCCCGGGCCCGUGCCCGCCGGAGACCCCAACACGAACACUGUCUGAAAGCGUGCAGUCUGAGUUGAUUGAAUGCAAUCAGUUAAAACUUUCAACAAUGGAUCUCUUGGUUCCGGCAUCGAUGAAGAACGCAGCGAAAUGCGAUAACUAAUGUGAAUUGCAGAAUUCAGUGAAUCAUCGAGUCUUUGAACGCACAUUGCGCCCCCUGGUAUUCCGGGGGGCAUGCCUGUCCGAGCGUCAUUGCUGCCCUCAAGCCCGGCUUGUGUGUUGGGUCGCCGUCCCCCUCUCCGGGGGGACGGGCCCGAAAGGCAGCGGCGGCACCGCGUCCGAUCCUCGAGCGUAUGGGGCUUUGUCACAUGCUCUGUAGGAUUGGCCGGCGCCUGCCGACGUUUUCCAACCAUUCUUUCCAGGUUGACCUCGGAUCAGGUAGGGAUACCCGCUGAACUUAAGCAUAUCA